UACAGAGGGGGCAAGCGUUGUUCGGAAUUACUGGGCGUAAAGCGCACGUAGGCGGCUUUGUAAGUUAGAGGUGAAAGCCCAGGGCUCAACCCUGGAAUUGCCUUUAAGACUGCAUCGCUUGAACAUCGGAGAGGUAAGUGGAAUUCCGAGUGUAGAGGUGAAAUUCGUAGAUAUUCGCAAGAACACCAGUGGCGAAGGCGGCUCACUGGCCCGGUACUGACGCUGAGGUGCGAAAGCGUGGGGAGCAAACAGG
rnacentral:rRNA from 1 species